UAUGUUAGCUUGCUAAUAUAUUUAGUAGCAAAUGGGUGAGUAACACGUACCUAACCUACCUUUUGGACCGGGAUAACCAUUGGAAACAGCGGCUAAUACCAGAUACGAUAAAAAAAUGCAUGUUUUUUUAUUAAAAGAAGCCUUUAAAGCUUCACCAAAAAAUGGGGGUGCGCAACAUUAGUUAGUUGGUAGGGUAAAGGCCUACCAAGACGAUGAUGUUUAGCGGGGCCAAGAGGCUGUACCGCCACACUGGGAUUGAGAUACGGCCCAGACUCCUACGGGAGGCAGCAGUAAGGAAUAUUCCACAAUGAGCGAAAGCUUGAUGGAGUGACACAGAGUGCAG
rnacentral:rRNA from 1 species